UGCAGUCGAGCGACUGAUUAGAAGCUUGCUUCUAUGACGUUAGCGGCGGACGGGUGAGUAACACGUGGGCAACCUGCCUGUAAGACUGGGAUAACUUCGGGAAACCGAAGCUAAUACCGGAUAGGAUCUUCUCCUUCAUGGGAGAUGAUUGAAAGAUGGUUUCGGCUAUCACUUACAGAUGGGCCCGCGGUGCAUUAGCUAGUUGGUGAGGUAACGGCUCACCAAGGCAACGAUGCAUAGCCGACCUGAGAGGGUGAUCGGCCACACUGGGACUGAGACACGGCCCAGACUCCUACGGGAGGCAGCAGUAGGGAAUCUUCCGCAAUGGACGAAAGUCUGACGGAGCAACGCCGCGUGAGUGAUGAAGGCUUUCGGGUCGUAAAACUCUGUUGUUAGGGAAGAACAAGUACAAGAGUAACUGCUUGUACCUUGACGGUACCUAACCAGAAAGCCACGGCUAACUACGUGCCAGCAGCCGCGGU
rnacentral:rRNA from 1 species